CCUCUGGGAAUACAGGUUCCAUGUAUAGUAUUUCAUUUUCCAGUAAUACUUUACCGCAUAAUUGAAGUGGUUCCCAUACCAAAUGUCAGGGACUCUUGCAGCCAUAUUAGGAGGUGCUGCAGGAGCCGUGGCAUUGGUGGGGGUAGUUAUCUUUCUUAUAUUAUGGUUCUGUCUAUCUCAUAAGAAGAGUGUUUCAAGAACUUCUGAGACAGGGUCUUCGGAACCAUCUCAAGGAGAAAGGCAUGUUGGGGUUGAGUUGUCCAUGCGAG
rnacentral:misc_RNA from 1 species